CCCAGCACAAAAAUGCUGGGACGGUUUACGCCUGUCCGAAUCUUGAUCUGCCGACAAUGACAAUUUGAUCGAUUGCACAUGUCUGUGCGAAAAGUGGCGAAAUUCGUCAUCAAUUCGCUCCAGCUGAUUGCUGUCAUGUGACGCACGCAACCAGGAAGCGGAAGCGAGAACGAGCCAUGUGGGAUCCUUGCUCCUGAUAUCCUGAAGUAUGGGUUGCAUUUCGUGACGCCAACAGAACACUCACAGAAAGGAGAGUGGUGUCAAACUACAAGACCGCCAGCAUGUAAACAAGGCCUUGUUUGUCCUUGUUUGGAUACUCAUUUGUCUACUUCCUGAAGAGGUUGAAGCAUGCUGGCCUUGAUACCUCAGUCCUUGCUUCAAUUAACAGCUGUGUUAUGGAGCGCAUCCUACAAAGGGCAAUUGGCAGGCAGUGUGCUGUGAGGACUGCUGCCCUGAUUCAUACGGAAGAAGUUCCAAGUUCACUCACUUAUUAGCGAGGUUAACGAGUGGGCUCCAUCAACUGUCCAGGGUGAAGUCGGUCUGUACUGAUUGCACUACCUGCUACUUGAUGAUGUCUGGUAGCCGUGGCUACUGCCCUCAGCCUGGUACACAUGACAUUUACUGCCAAAAGGUACCAUCAGAGCACCUCUCCCUACCCUGCAGGACAUCUAUACCAGAAGAGUACAAGGGCCCAAAAUAUUUCAAAAGACAUUUCACACCCUGACCAUGGACUGUUUAAACCACUUAGGUCAAGCAGACGUCUCUGUUCCCACAUGGCUAGAACAGACUGAGAAGGAGUUUCUUUCCUGAAGCCAUCUGCAUCCCGAUCACACAUAACUCUUUAAACUACAUUAUAUAGACUUGCCAUACUGCACUUACACACACUGCUCUGUUUACCACCUGAAAAGAUUGUUGCUGCACUGUCUCAGGUUUUGUUCAAACCAUGUCUAUAUCAAGGAUGGUUCCCAAAACCAACGCCUGUUUGCCAGGCUCAUUUUCUGCAAGGCCCUUGAUUUGGGGAAAAGUGCGAAAACCAGUGACAUUAAGGGUAUGAACUUCUUUUUGUACACAUUUACAUACUAUGAGUUAUUAAUGUUGUGCCAAUAUUUUAGCUGUCCAUAAUGUUGACACAAAAAAGUUUACAAGGCCCAUAGUAUCACCAGUUUUGCACCUCGUUCCUUAUCUAGGGCCUCAUAUAAAUUUAAUGGGUAUGCACUACAAACAAUGGUCCAGUCAUACUGAGAACAUGUCUGUCUUCCAUCUUCCACCAAGUUUGGACAAGCUAGGAACAAUAUUUUUUAAAUAUAUCAAUGCCUAAAGAUGGCGUCCAAGAUAAGGAAUUUGUGAGAGUGAAAAUGAUACAAAAUCAAGGGUGAAAAGGUGUAUGGAAUUAUAAAAUUGAGCAAAAAUAUUUUACAGGUCUUGGUUUUGGGACUUAAAGGUAGUCAAGAGCAAAAUCUGAGAGGGUGCAGCAACUGUUUUCCUGGAUUUUAUCUGACUUGAAACAGAAUGACCCCCUUCCUAUCGUAAAUUACAUGUAUUUCUAAAUCCUUCUUUCUUUAUCCUGUACACCUCUGCACAGGCAAGUUGAGAAGCUGAAUGCCAGUUCUCUAUGUAUUUUACAAUGAUAUCUUUGUAUCUGACAAUUCCUUGAAUCCUUGACAGAAGGCUCAAUUUUGUAUUGCCAUAUUUUGUGAUGUCUACAGAAAUAAAAAUACUUGGUACCGA